GAUAGCUGUAUUUUUCAUUGCAAAACAUUCCUGAAUUGUUGUGUUUGUUGUUCAAGCAAAGGUGAGAUGAGCCUGGUAAGAGUUUUGCGUGGCACAUGAAGACCACACACAGGCAGUGACUUUGCGAGGAUUUGAAAACGCACGACGCUGAGUUGAAUUUGUGUUAUUUCAAAUAAUUGUUUGUGAUCACAGUACCACUUCGAGCAGAACUGAAUCUUAUCCACAAGCUUACCGACGGUCAGGCUGCCAACAUGACUGAACAAAUGAUCCCUGCAAGCACCACACGGCAGACGUCCGAGGCCAUGUCCAUUGCCGGGAUGUCCAUCUCCAUCUUCGUCUCAAUCGGCUACACUGCGACUCGUCGUACAGUCCGUGCGCCAAGGCCCUUGAGAGACCGAUUUUCAUUUUCUCGCGGGAAUCGUAGCCUCCAAGGCGCCGCACCUGCGGGCUUGUUUUCUGUUGAUUUCGCCUAUCUCCGAAUGGUGAAUAUUUCAAUGAAAUUUGCUGCUUAGAGCCCUUCUAGUCUUGUCAGGAGACCUUUCCUACACUGGAGAGAUGGCUCGGAGUGAUGUAGACACCUAUGGCCGUACCCUGGAAAAUUAUUUUGGAGCUUGCAGUUCGUGAGCAGCCACCAAGGACGAAUGUCUCACUUUUGUAAUUGCUGAAACGAGGAAUAUGGUCACCAAUUUCACACCAGUGUGGUGACUUCUGAUCCAUGAGGCGAUGGCAUGAAGUCAAUAGUUUGCAGUAUGUGCAAUAUGGGGCAGUCUCUCUGUCAAUGGACCUGUGACAGCUGAAGCCCAGACGUUGCAGUUUGAUGUCUAUGGCCAGCAGCAAUCUAAUGUUGUUGCACCUUUCCUUCCACACACAGCAAUGCGGAAUAUGUCAUGGACAGACAUCGCUAAACUGCCUCUUUUGAAGAAGCAUCGCAAUUCUUGUCUGCCAAUAAACAACAGACUAGCCAGCUAUAAUUACAAUUUGGAGGUCGGAGACGCGAUCCCGUGAACGUAUUGCGCCAACUGCAAUGAAGAAGGCCUUAGUGAUCUGGAUUUAUUACCAUUCUCGUGUGGAUAACUGUGGCGUUGUGAUCCAAGUCAUGCAGACUAUAAAAUGCCUUAGACGUGAGAUAGUGAAGGUACUGCCGACAGCAAGCCAACAGUGGAUAUGAACCACGCCGCCAGCAUCAUUCUGCACACCAGGAGAAUCCAAUACAUAUAGCUGCCAACUCUGAUGGUAUAGACCCGAUAACUUGUUUUCUUACUCUAAGAUUGGUAUACAAUUAUACAUGUACUAGUGCAAUCUCUAUCCAUAAUAUGCGUAAUGCACUGUUUUUGUUUCCGGUGACUGGAGGUAGUUUAUCAUAGCACUGUUUUAUGUCCUGGUUUUGUUGAAGAUAAGCAAUAUCCAGUUAACUUGCUGGGUACCGUAUCAGUCAACUCUUUCAGCAUUUGGCUUUGUGUCAGGGGUGGUUGGCGGUGUCGCGGGUCAUUCCACAGUCCGCAAAGUUGAUGUUCUCGGCAACGGAGCGACCCAGUAGGCAAUUGAUCACCAAUAAAUAUACUGUCAUUGGUAUCACGGUGCACCACAAUGGCAUAAUUAUGGUGUGAAUAUCAUUAUGUUA